GAAGUUGUGGCUCAAUGGUAGAGUGCUCGCCUAGCAUGUGUGAGGCACUGGGUUCAAUUCUCGGCACUGCA
rnacentral:tRNA from 1 species